AGAGUUUGAUCAUGGCUCAGGACGAACGCUGGCGGCGUGCUUAACACAUGCAAGUGGAGCGACGAACCGGGCUUCGGCCCGGGGCAAAGCCGCGAACGGGUGAGUAACACGUGGGUAACCUGCCCCGAUGACCGGGACAACCCGAGGAAACUCGGGCUAAUACCGGAUGUGUACCGCGCUCAUAAGGGCACGGUGCAAAGGUAGCUUCGGCCUCCGCAUCGGGAUGGGCCCGCGGCCCAUUAGCUUGUUGGUGGGGUAACGGCCUACCAAGGCUGCGAUGGGUAGCUGGUCUGAGAGGACGAUCAGCCACACUGGGACUGAGACACGGCCCAGACUCCUACGGGAGGCAGCAGUGGGGAAUCUUGCGCAAUGCGCGAAAGCGUGACGCAGCAACGCCGCGUGGGGGAAGAAGGCCUUCGGGUUGUAAACCCCUUUCAGUUGGGACGAAGCUUUGCCGGUGAAUAGCCGGCUGGAGUGACGGUACCUUCAGAAGAAGCCCCGGCUAACUACGUGCCAGCAGCCGCGGUA
rnacentral:rRNA from 1 species